rnacentral:rRNA from 1 species
GACGGACGCUGGCGGCGUGCUUAACACAUGCAAGUCGAACGGAAAGGCCCUGCUUUUGUGGGGUGCUCGAGUGGCGAACGGGUGAGUAACACGUGAGUAACCUGCCCUUGACUUUGGGAUAACUUCAGGAAACUGGGGCUAAUACCGGAUAGGAGCUCCUGCUGCAUGGUGGGGGUUGGAAAGUUUCGGCGGUUGGGGAUGGACUCGCGGCUUAUCAGCUUGUUGGUGGGGUAGUGGCUUACCAAGGCUUUGACGGGUAGCCGGCCUGAGAGGGUGACCGGCCACAUUGGGACUGAGAUACGGCCGAGACUCCUACGGGAGGCAGCAGUGGGGAAUAUUGCACAAUGGGCGGAAGCCUGAUGCAGCAACGCCGCGUGCGGGAUGACGGCCUUCGGGUUGUAAACCGCUUUCGCCUGUGACGAAGCGUGAGUGACGGUAAUGGGUAAAGAAGCACCGGCUAACUACGUG